rnacentral:lncRNA from 1 species
ACACACACACACACACACACACACACACACACACACACACACACAGGAGGGGAAGGGGCAGGGAGAGAGACUGCCGACUGCUUUCCCUCAGAUCCUUCAACCCCCAACUCCUAUCACUUCUCCUGUGGCAGCUUCUCCAGGGAUGGAGGCAAAUUCCUCAGUUAGUAGAGGGAGCCGAUUGGUUUAAACACCCUUCCCCCCUUCACAUCUAGAAUGUUAGUGAACAGGAAGUGCUACUUACUCAGAUGUCAGAAAUUAAGUGUGGCUGAUGCUUAGAAUUCCUGGGUGACCUCACUCAGGGUCCCUGCUGUGGCCAGCCUUGAGCUGGAGCCAACUUAAACCAGCUGAAAGACCACUGAGUGCUGGUCUUCCCAGCUCUGCGCUCAGUGAUGCUCGUUUGUAACUUGAACUCUGCUGUCACAGAAGAAUUGACACCGCGGCCCUCAGUAAAAGCCACACGCCAGGGUUAGUCUUGUUCAUUGUUUACCGGGGGACGUCCGGGUGCAGCUGACACCGAGGUAUAAAAACUCCUGUUCGACUCAGGAGAGGUCUAAGUGCAGACGGGGUAGGGGCUGAAGAGAUGGCAAUGAGAAGGAGCGUGACUGGACCACAGAAAGAGGCAUGGAAAAACACACCCACGUUGUGGACCUGUCUCUACUUCCUUUUCUUCUCUUAGCCAGCCUUCCGUACUUCCCAGCAUACUUAGGAGGUGACAGAAGCCAUCACCCAACUCCUUAGUUACCACCUCACUUAAAGGACCGACUUAGGGAAAGACUCGCUGGGUCCCAGCUUCUAGGUGAUCAUUUCAAAUGGCUUUAGUGUUUCAUGCAGGCUCCAAUAAUCAAUCCUACUUGAGGGGGUAAGGCUGUACGACAACAACAUAGACCUCAGGAUCCCUUUCAGGCAGGUGGUACACCCUAGGGGUUGUAGUAAACUUGGCAUAGAUUUACAAAGAUGGUAGCCACACUCUAUUAAAAAAAAAUCGCUUUCAAAAGUCUAGAUUAAGCUUAGAAUGGAGGUAGGGAGCCAGGUGAAUGAGAGCAAAAUCCGAUGGGCCCAGGGAGGGAGGGAGGGCAAGGGCCCUGUGCCAUCAGGGAGCGAGUGGACUGCAAGCUUGUCUCCCUCCAUCAGAAUUUUAGGCUCUUAGUCCCAAGGGCCUAGAAAGGACAGCUAGUCCCAGGACUGUUUUCCUGGCUGCGUUUGGGCCUCUUGUGCCAAUGGAGGGAGAGAAGGAGAUGGCCUGGUGCCCAGGCUGUAGAGAGGAGCUGGCUGGCUCUGGAGUGAACUGGCAUUAUCCAGAUCUCUUGAGUCACAUGAAUCCUUUGACAGUGGGGGGUGGAGAGAGAGAGAGAGAGAGAGAGAGAGAGAGAGAGAGAGAGAGAGAGAGAGAGAGAGAGAGAGAGAUUUCAGGGGUAGAGUCUGCUGGAGAAUAAAUAUCCUAGAGAGUGAGUUGCCUACCAUGUGAGCUCAGAGAUGCUGGGGUCUGGUCCUGCCAUGGUUAAGAUAAUCAACAAGUUAUUGGCGCUCUUGGGGUCCUGGGUUAUAACAGUGAAUAAACAGCUUCUCCCUUAAGGAACAUAGAGGAGUUAAAGCAAUUAUAAAAGAUGAGGCAUUGGGGGUCACGGGGCAUGUAGAUGGGGUGCAAAAUCUUACGUAUCUGAGACAUCUUCAUAGAUGUUUCAUUAGUUAAUUAUUGAUUUUUCAAGACAGGGUUUCUCUGUGUACCUUUGGAGCCUGUCCUGGAACUCAUUCUGUAGACCAUGGCUUUGAACUCACAGAGAUUCCCCUGCCUCUGCCUCCCAAGUGCUGGGACUAAAGACAUACACCACCAUCGCCCAACUGGAUGUUUAUUUGUUUUUAAAAAUUAUUGAUUUUAUUUAUUUUUCGUGUGUAUAGGGGGGCAUGUGCCUGUACACUAGGGUGGACUGCACACAAUUUAUGUGAGUCGGUUCUCUCUCUCUACCCUGUGGGUCCCAAGAUCGAACUCAGGUUAUAAGGCUCAGCAGCAGAGACCUUUACCCACAGCCAUCUUGCCAGCCUAGUGAAAUCAGGCCCAAAUGAGGAAGCUUAAGUAGGGGACUGGGGGUCACAAUGGGGAGAAGUGUGGAGAAUGGUCUUACAGUGUUUAUAAAAGUUUUCAGAAGAAAAGAACUCAUCGUUGUCCACAAAUACAAACCAUCCCAAGCUUUGGAAUCCCUUUUUUGUUUUAUUUUGUUUUGAUUUUUAAGCCCCGUACCCAUUUCCUUAGAGGCUAGACUAGUUUUCACUCCCAGCAUCAUUGUGUGAGGCUUCCGUUUAUCUACAGCUGAGCCAGCCUCCCCGCCCCCAUCUUUUGUUCAGUCCGGUUUCUGUGGUCAAGGCUGUGCAGUCCACUCUCAAACGCUCGCACGCUUCCUCUCCCGGCUUCCCUAUGACCUGACUCAGGGACUUUUUUCCACACUGAAUCAUCAUGGCUGCCCACAUCUGUUGGGUAACCUCCAUUUGUUGUGUCUGGUCCGGUACUAAGAUUUUCCACACUUUAUCUCAGUCAGUCCUUAUUCUUCCCAGGCAGUCUGUGUGCCCAUAUUUGCCUGGAGGGAAUGGCCCUUCUGUUCAUCGCUCAGCUCCAUCGUCUUUCCUGUUUCUUUGUAGCAUUCCCUCGUCACUUUCUAUUACACCUGUCUGUGUUAUUUCUUUUUAGCGUUUGUGAUGCAAACAAUCCUGCUUGUUUCUUAAUUGUUGGUUUUGCUCUGGGGAAGUUUAUACUGGGCAAGUUUUAGAGCUCAUGCAUUGAGGAAGCUGGUGUUCAAAACCACUACACAUCUUAAAAUGGAUGCCCUUGUCUCCAAGACUCUUUCUCAUGGUGGUGUGAUCUUCCACUUGUCUGAUCUCACCAGGCUGAAGUGGGCUGGGUUCCCUUCUGCUGUGGCAUGUCACUUAACUGGUGCUUGUCCUUGUAUUUUGCUUUUGGCAUAGGGCAUGAGGUCCCUUCUCUGCUCUGUGUUAUAUAGCUCCUGACAUGGAGCUAGCUGUCAAAGGGGAGAUGCUACAAAACUGACAGUCACAUUUCUGUCUCUCAAACUGUUGCAGGAAUACUUUGUUUCUUACCACUUUGGGUUGUCCUUCUUAGACACCACUAUGGCACCAAUGACACACAGGAGCGUGGAUCACUUUGGCUUGCCCUCCUCAGGCAUCACUAUGGCACCAGUGACACACAGGACCGUGGAGAUUUGACCCCAAGGAGAAAGAUGCUGGAGGGAUUUUGUGGUCUGCUUCUCCUGGUCACUUUUUAAAGGGAAAUAUAAAGAUAAAAAGUCUUAUUCUACAGAAAUUCUCCAAAAAUGAAUUUUCAACAGAAUCAGGUGUAGAACUGGGUAAAAGUCCAACUUCUGCCCCAAUUCUGGGAAGAACGUGUCUAGUUCUGGCCCUUCUCAGAUUGUGUAUUUAUGGCAUAUAAAUAAAGAAGGAGCUGACAGACAGCAUCUGGGAAGACAGAAAGAAUCUCAGCCUCCAAAAACAAGUCUGAGGUAUGAUGUAUAAAACCCACCAGAAUGUUCUCCGUGUCUCUGACAUUUCAUGGCUAAUCCCAGCACUGCAGCAUUCAACAGUGCGACUUCAUUGAAUUAAGAGCAAUAUUUCUGCGUGAGUGUGAAUGCAUGCUUGGGGCACUGUGUCUCUUUGUCGGUCAGAAGAUAGUUUUUAGGAGCUGGUUCUUUCCUUCCACCACGGAGUUUUGAGGAUCGAACUUAGGUCCCCAGGCUUGGCAGCAGACGCCUUUAUCUCCUGAGGUCUUGCCAGUCCUCAUCACCAUACCCUAAAAACAUUGCCAAGCAAAGCCCAGCAUUGCUGACAGUCUCAGUGGGCACAGUUUGUCCUUCGUCUUACAAAUCCUUAACUUCACUGUCUUUUGCAAAGUCAGUCAGGAUGAUUUAAACGAGUCAUUAUUGAAAUAGAUUUCUAUAUUUAAGACUGUCUCUCACAUUUGAAACAUGAAAUCCUUUAAUAAGAGCAGAUUAAAAAUCCCAAGGAAAUCUGAUUCUGAAAUAGAGGCUCCUACAUUUCUUUCUUUCUUUCUUUCUUUCUUUCUUUCUUUCUUUCUUUCUUUCUUUCUUUUUCUCUUUAAAUGUGUAGCCCAGGAUGACCUGGAACUCAUGAUCCUCCUGCUGCUGUCUUCUUCAGCAAAUCCUAUCCUGAUUGUGCCACCACAACCUGCUUAUCUUUCUUUCCUGAUGGGGGAUGUCUUUCUGUAUAUAUGUUUCUCUUAUUGGUUGAUGAAUAAAAAAACACCGUUUGGCCAAUAGAGACAGGAAGACAGGCAGGACUAGGAGACGAGGAGAAUUCUGGGAAAGACAGGCAGAGAGCGACACCUCGAAGAGAUGCUAUGUAGCCAAGGUAGGUGUAACAGGUCUGGACCUGCCUCCGAUAAGAUAAAACCACGUGGAAAUACAUAGAUUAAUAGCAAUGGGUCAAUAAUUAAGACAGAGCUAGCCAAUAAGAAGCCCUAGCCAUAGGGCUUUAUAUAACAGUUUUUAUAAAUAAUAUAAGUCUUUGUGUGCUUCUUGGGGGCAAGGUGGCUGUGGGACCAGGCGGGACAAGAAAACUCCAGCAACACUUUCCUGCUAAGAGAAAUUUUUCUAAAGUAUAAUCUCAGAAGCCUGUUGUAUGCAGGGGCUGCAGUAAUGAAACUGCUGACAUGCUCUCCAUAAUAUGGUUAAUGUUUUUAUUGUAGGAGAGAGGGAGAGAGAGAGAGAGAGAGAGAGAGAGAGAGAGAGAGAGAGAGAGAGAGAGAGAGAAACAGCCAGAGGCAUCUGGAAGAGUCCAGAGCAGAGAGAGCAAGAAGUGGACUGAACACAGAAGACUGGACAUGACCAGGGCUAGGGAGUGGGAAAGAGGAGUGGCGAUAAUAAGAGAAAACAUAGUGACAGGAUAGGAAGGGAAAUGAGAGUCAGGGUAAGACAAAAUAGUGAGCUAGGUUAUAAGAAGGAUGAGUAGCGGGGCUGGAGAAAUAACUCAGAGGUUAAGAGCACUGGCUGCUCUUCCAGAGGUCCUGAGUUCAAUUCCCAGCAACCACAUGGUAGCUCACAACCAUCUGUAAUGAGAUCUGGUGCCCUCUUCUGAACUGCAGGCAUACAUGCAGACAGAAUGCUGUAUACAUAAUAAAUAAAUAAAUUAAAAAAAAAAAAAGGAUGAGUAUCUGUGGGUGGGAGAUACUCCCACCUGUGAGCUGCGGGGAGUUUAGGGUAGGGGAGGAGGCAAUAAGGGAUGCUAGCAUGGACUUUGACAUGUACAACAGGUACUCCUGAUCCUAAGGGGCCUGGAGGCAGCAUGGGCUUUGAUAGACACGGGGAGCCAUGUGUCCCUUCUGCCAGAGUUAAGGGAAAUGACUCCUCUUGGCAGAUGGGACUUUGUGUUUCACAAGUUCCUGAGGAAUGCUGGCUUUCAUCCAACUGCCAGAAAUCUUGCAGUCCAGUUUAAGUUCAUUUUUGAAUAUUUGGACCGGCUGUGAGACCUAACACCGAUCUGACCAGUAAACAGAGCAGGUAAUAUCACAGGCCUGGCAGACAAGGAAAUGCUAAAGACUAUUGGAACAAUGGACCCCAAAGAAACUGGAAUUUUCAUGAAUCUCAUGCUGGGGGAAAGGAAAAGGCCCCAGCCAGAGGGGGAACUUGUCUCCAGGAAAAGAAGCCACACAGCUCCAACUACGAGUCAGACACUCACAGGAUGAAUCUGAAGCCCAGAUAAGGUUGGGUCAAUGUCGAGAUUUUUACAGCCCAGAUGUGGCUUUGAAUUCUGUUGUGAAGACGAAGUGAAAUGAUGCAUGUUACAUACUGAAAACAAAACGAUGCGUGUACGAUGCUAAAAACAAGAGGCUUCCUGCCCUAAGUCAAGAACAGAAUGCCAACCAGGCUGAACUUCGUCAUCACCAGGGCCUUCAAGUUUCCAUUGCCUCUCAAGAGUUCAGUUCCAACACAGCAACACCGUAACCACCACCAACCAGGGCCAGACAACAUUUAUGGCUUUACUCAAAGCCACUAUAGUCAUUUUUAAAUUGAUUUUUCAUAAAGCAAAUCACAUUCUUAAAAUACUUGUGAACUUCACCUUUGGUCUCUGAGAACUUUGUUUUUCAUUUACACAGGGAUGUAUUUUAUUUUGAUAAAAUCCGUUCCUUACUUCUCUGUUCCAACUCUUGUCCCUCUCCUCAUAUCUUACUCAAUGUCAUUUGUCUGUCUGUCUAUCUAUCUAUCUAUCUAU